UUGUUGGUGCUGCUAUGGCUAAAACAUUCAAGUACCUGAAACAUCCAGAUACAGAUGUAAUGCUAAUUACAGAGUUUCAUCGGAGUUUUUGAAGUUUUGAAUUUGAAGUCAUGUAAAAACACCAAAAGUUGCCUUUUAUAAGUCCACAAAGCAUUUGAAUAUCUUUAAUAGAAGAAUGGUAAACUCUCCUCCACCUGAAGAAAUGUUUGAUCAGAGUGAAUACCAUGAGAUGGUUGCAAAGAAUGAGAUCCCUAAUUAAUUCAUGGCUUUAGGAAACCUGAUCUUUAUUUCAAGUUGGAAGAUGCAGCCCAGGAUUUUCUUAAUGCUCAGGUCCACCCCAUCGCCAGUCCAUGAGAAAUGUAUCUGCCGCAGCUCACGUAUCCAGGCAAGAGCCACUUAUCCCUUGUGUGGAAAGUGACAUUCCGCAGAGCCCCCUUCCACCACUGCUGGUUUCUUUUAGAAUUGAAAAUCAGAACAAAGGGAUGAGAAGAGACAAACAACAAAGGACCUGACACUUUGUGAAGAAUGACAGCAAUGCCUAUGGGACUGUGACCUCUUUCAGCAUAAGGACCAUUCAACUAUUUCUACUCUCCUGAACCGGUCAUGCACUAAAAAAUUUGUUGAAAAGA